ACACCGUAUCUUCUCUAUCCAUUCAUCAGUCGAUGGGACAUUUGGGCUUUUUUCGUAAUUAGGCUAUUGUUGAAAGCACUGCUAUAAACAUUGGGGUACAUGUGCCCCUAUGCAUCAGCACUCCU